UCCGGGUUUCGCCCGGCAGUCUCCCUAGAUUAUUCAACUAAGGACAGGGGUUGCGCUCGUUGCGGGACUUAACCCAACAUCUCACGACACGAGCUGACGACAACCAUGCAGCACCUCUGCUCGCUCCCUUGCGGGUCGUCCACUGUUUCCAGCGAACUACCACGAGUAGUUCAAGCCCAGGUAAGGUUCUUCGCGUUGCAUCGAAUUAAUCCACAUCAUCCACCGCUUGUGCGGGCCCCCGCCUAUUCCUUUGAGUUUUAACCUUGCGGCCGUAGUCCCCAGGCGGUGAACUUAAUGCGUUAGCUGCGGCACUGAUCGGGUCAAUCCGACCAACACCUAGUUCACAACGUUUAGGGCGUGGACUAC
rnacentral:misc_RNA from 1 species